UUGCAUAGUUUUAUUCAACAAUAUUAUUUACAUAUAUAGACAAUAUAAUUGCGCUUUGGCACAGAGUAUUCAGCAAAUGAGGUAAAAAAAAUCCAGAAAAAGUACAUAAAAAAGGGGUAAGCUGCCUAUAAUUUGUUUAUUGAAUUGUUAUCACAUACAAAAAAAAAUCCUAAAGUUUUAGAUAUAAUAGAACAAAAAUAAUAAGAGAAUCCAUUUCAGAUUAUGGUAUGUGUUACUAAAAAUGCAGCUUAAUUAAAAGCUAUGUCACCUUUAUAAUUUCCUUUGGAAAAAAAAGAAAAAAAAAGUUAAGU
rnacentral:lncRNA from 1 species